GAUGAACGCUGGCGGCGUGCCUAAUACAUGCAAGUCGAGCGAACAGUCGAGGAGCUUGCUCCUCUGACGUUAGCGGCGGACGGGUGAGUAACACGUGGAUAACCUACCUAUAAGACUGGGAUAACUUCGGGAAACCGGAGCUAAUACCGGAUAAUAUAUUGAACCGCAUGGUUCAAUAGUGAAAGACGGUUUUGCUGUCACUUAUAGAUGGAUCCGCGCCGCAUUAGCUAGUUGGUAAGGUAACGGCUUACCAAGGCAACGAUGCGUAGCCGACCUGAGAGGGUGAUAGGCCACACUGGAACUGAGACACGGUCCAGACUCCUACGGGAGGCAGCAGUAGGGAAUCUUCCGCAAUGGGCGAAAGCCUGACGGAGCAACGCCGCGUGAGUGAUGAAGGUCUUCGGAUCGUAAAACUCUGUUAUUAGGGAAGAACAAAUGUGUAAGUAACUAUGCACGUCUUGACGGUACCUAAUCAGAAAGCCACGGCUAACUACGUG
rnacentral:rRNA from 1 species